UCAUGAUUUCCCCCUGGUAGCUCAGGUGUGCGUGAUUUCCACUGAAAUUUCCAGUCGAAUUUUAGUUUCCUUUCACUGUAUUAUAAGUGUAUUUUAUAGUCUAAUAUCAGUGUACUUACCUUGUAAAUUGCACUGUUAUAUCAGUGUACUAACUUUUGUAACUACACUGUAAUAUCAGUGUAUUUACAGUCUAAUAUCAGUGUACUUACUUUGUUACUUGCACUUUAAUAUCAGUGUACUAACUAUGUAAUUACCAUGUAGUAUCAGCGUGCUUACACUGUAACUCACAGUGUAAUUUCAGUGAAUUUACUUUUGCAAUCCUAGUGAUUUCAGCAUGUGGUGCUUCCUGAUUGACUGAUUCCUAUGAUUUUUAGUUAGUUAUGCAAGUGGAUCUCUCUGUAUUGUAGCUCAAAAUUACAGUUGUUCUUACCCCCCAGAAUUUCAGUGUAACUACUGUGUAAUAUGUU
rnacentral:lncRNA from 1 species